UUGAUUGUUUUCCUGUUUGUUUUGGUGGGUUGUUUCAGCUUUCGGAGAAGAGGAAGGUGACGAUUCAGGAUUUCAGAGGGAAAACACUGGUCUCCAUUAGGGAGUAUUACAGAAAGGACGGCAAGGACCUACCUACUUCAAAAGGUCUUUUCACUAAGAAAUACAGAAGCUUCUCUUUUUAUACAGAUCACGCCUCGAAUGAUUUUGCCACUAAGAAGGUCAAGUUAUACACUGGUUCCGUCCUCUUUGUUUCUUGGGUUUUUUGCUUCUAUAAUGUUGGUUGGACAGGGAAUAUAUCUCACUUCCACUGCACGCAGUCAUGCUAAAGAUAACAACUUGCAUGAAGGUGCACUAAUUGGCGACUUCAAUGGGGAAUUCUGGAGUGUGCACUACUAGAAAAAUGAAUUUUGGCAUCAAGAUCCAUAGCUUUCUACUUUUCGUUCACCCUAAACCCUAUGUUCAACUCCUUUGAUGAUUUUCGUUAAGAUUGGUAUAUGGGUGAGGAAAGUGGAUAUGCUUGAUGGAGUUUCCAUUGUGCGAUCUGAGAAGGUGAAGGAUGAGUUGGUUUUCGAUGGAAAUGACAUUGAGCUUGUUUCUAGGUCAUGUGCCCUUAUCAAUCAGAACAAGGAUAUCAGGAAGUUUCUUGAUGGUAUUUAUGUUAGUGAGAAGGGGACCGCAUUAAUAAAGAAGCUAGAGAAUGAUUUUUUGAAGAGAGAUAAAAGUGGUGGUUAUUUGAAAAGAGUUUAGCUAUAUUGAUAUUGAUUCCUCUUCCACAUCGGUGACUGUCUCUGGCCAGAUUAUUUUAUGAGGUGGUGAAAAAGAUCGUUAUGGGGAAAAAGAUUGGAGCAUGUAUUUAGUAGAAAGUCUAAAUUAAGGGUUAACAGUGUGUGCUACUUCACUUUCUGUAACUGGAACUUUGGAAAGUUAAAUUAGUUAUGAGCUAAUUAUAUGAGCUAUUUCUGAAUGGAAAAUGUGCUAGGUAUGACUUUUUAA